rnacentral:misc_RNA from 1 species
AGAAAUUCUAGAUUUUUUAUUGAAAAAAAUACUAAGGUCCAGUAGGCUCAUAUCAAACAUAUUACAAAUCAUCAAUCACACUCAGAAAAUUCACCGAGUCAGAAUAUGCAGCUAUGCACAUCAAAGCUAUCUGCAAAUGUGUGCCUUCCCUCCAGGGCAAUACACCUCAGUCUAACAUUAAAUGUCGGAAGAUUUAAAAAAAGUUGAUUCUCAAUACUCCUUUAAGCAGAUUUCAAUCUGCG